ensembl:snoRNA
UGUAUCUGUGAUGAUAAUUUGGCUCCCUCUACUGAAGUCUCUGAGGAAAACUGCCAUUCGUUACCCAAUUUCUUACUGAGAUACU